rnacentral:rRNA from 1 species
UGGGGAAUAUUGGACAAUGGGCGCAAGCCUGAUCCAGCCAUGCCGCGUGGGUGAAGAAGGCCUUAGGGUUGUAAAUCCCUUUCAGCGGGGAAGAUAAUGACGGUACCCGCAGAAGAAGCCCCGGCUAACUCCGUGCCAGCAGCCGCGGUAAUACGGAGGGGGCUAGCGUUGUUCGGAAUUACUGGGCGUAAAGCGCGCGUAGGCGGACCUGCAAGUCGGGGGUGAAAGCCCGAGGCUUAACCUCGGAAUUGCCUUCGAUACUGCGGGUCUCGAGUCCGGGAGAGGUGAGUGGAAUUCCUAGUGUAGAGGUGAAAUUCGUAGAUAUUAGGAAGAACACCAGUGGCGAAGGCGGCUCACUGGCCCGGUACUGACGCUGAGGCGCGAAAGCGUGGGGAGCAAACAGGAUUAGAUACCCCCGUAGUCC